rnacentral:lncRNA from 1 species
GUGAAACCCAUCAGUGCCUCAUGGAACCAGCAUUUAGUGUAAUCAAGGAAGUACCUCUUGGAUGGUUUCGUGCUGUAUAUAUCUUUCCAUGUAAGUUCACAGGGUCGCAUGAACCAGCCCUUCAGGUGGUUCAAAAUCACAAUGUUGAGGUAUGUUCUACCAAAGGGUAUUUUGGACCUUUUAUGCUUCAGCAUUCAAGCCAGCUGAUCAAAGCGAACACGGAGGAUCGGCUUUUAGAGUCACACACUGAAAAUUGUACAGUGGGAUUAUUCAGGUUCAGGGGAUAUUUAUUCCUUUCCUUUUGGUUGGGCUUGGAUUUUUCCCCCGCCCAGUGCAGCAGCGAAGCAGGUAUGAGCAUAGAAACAAUGGGACUGGAGCCCCAAAAACAUAGACUGUGGUUCAUUUGUGCCUACAUGAAACGCAGAGGAUCUCAUCGACAUUUUUCAAAAGCAGAUCUGGGGAGAGCUGAGCCCUGAGCUGACACCAGAACUGGAAGUGCAGGGCGCACAGCCUCAAACCCCAGCCUGCCCAGGCUGACACGGCAGCGAGCCGUGGUAGCUGAGAGCUCAGGGCCCUGCCAAGGCUCAGGGCUUCUUUCUCAGUCGCAGUCCAAGGCAAACACAGCUUCGCUGAGUCCGGCUCCGGCUGCGGUGUCUGCCAGAGGACUGCAGCAGCCCGGCUUGGUAUGCAGCUCAAGCAGCGCUGGGAAGCGUGUGCUGGGUUCCCUUGCAGGGUCAGUACAUCUCCCUGUUUCUCAGGGCCCAGAUGAGAGCCUCUUCUUGUGCUGCCUCAUCUUUUGCACUUUCUAGUGGUCAGAGAGUUUUUGAAGUGAUUUCAGAUGAGGUAUUUAAAGCCACUUCUUUCCCUGUAGCUGUAGACACGUUUGUCUCAGGAGGAUUUUCCUGCUUUGGAUGCUACCUCUGCAGUGCAGCAGUGACUGGCUUUGCUGCAUCCUGUUCUGACUGCCUGCUUAUUUUGACAUCUGUUCCCCUUCCCAACAGUUUCAUACAGUCGUUACCUGAAAGUACACGGACUCUGGGUCUGCGAGCUCCUCCUGCCCUGACUGAAACUGAAGUAGUGUCACGGCACCCUGCUGCUGCUUUGCACUCCCCAAACGGCUGCAUUAAAUGGUGUGCUGGAUCCUUUCCUCUUUUCCUCGGCCUCAGAAGGCUCUGUUUGUCCAAGGGCACAGAGGACAGAGGAGGAGGAUGUGUGUGCUGUGGCAGUCUGCACCUCCACUCGCAGGUUAAGAAUUUCCUACCCCAGCCCCGUGUCUCAUCUGUGUGCCUGGAGACAGCGCAGCAGAGCAGGAUUGCAGCCCCAGGAAUGUUGGCUGCUUUACAGCGUCCCUGGCAGGUACAUUUCGUUUGUCUGUAGCUGCUGACAGCCUCUGGCACUGCAGCCACUGCCUCUGCAGUCACAGCUUGAUGGAAGGAAAAUGCAGCUCUGUAGGCAAGUGUUUGGUCCAGACAUUCCUUAGCAGGCAAGCACAGAAGCUGCCGAGGUCUGGCAGUUUUCUUAAGGGCAUGGUGAGGGAAGGCAGCACUGCACAGGCACUGCUACCAAAAGGUGAUGGUGUGGUUCCUUUGUCCAGGGCCCUGGUGGCAAAAAGCCCCUCCGUCGCUGUUGCCACCUCUGGCUCUGGAUGGGCCAUCACUAGCUGCAGAAACUGGAGAGAUUCUUGUUGUUCUUUAACGAUCAGUGCUUAAAACUCCUGUACAAAUACAGCAUCUUCUUUUGGAACUUUGUUGUCUGAGUAUUUCUUCCACCCCAGGUUUGAGUAGGUGCGGGCUGUGAUCCAUUUGGUGGGUGAACGGUCUGAGAAAUGGUUUGUGCUUCAGCUAAGUCACUGUCCUGGAGAGCCAGCCUUACCUGCCACUGAGCAGGGCACAUUUACGUUUCACCUCCUCUUGUGUUUCCAUUGGAGUAAUUCAGCGAUUUUCCCCCUGCUUCUCCCAUGCCUGCAUGGUUUGGCUUACGAACUGCUGAGGGCCACUUUAUUAUUUUUGGUACCAUGGAAAUAAUAAAAUAUCCUGGCUUUUGAAAUUUCUCUGUAAG